AUUGAACGCUGGCGGCAUGCCUUACACAUGCAAGUCGAACGGUAACAGGUCUUUCGGAUGCUGACGAGUGGCGAACGGGUGAGUAAUACAUCGGAACGUGCCCGAUCGUGGGGGAUAACGGAGCGAAAGCUUUGCUAAUACCGCAUACGAUCUACGGAUGAAAGCAGGGGACCGCAAGGCCUUGCGCGGACGGAGCGGCC
rnacentral:rRNA from 1 species